UUGAAAGGGAAACGAUUGAAGUCAGUCGUCCCAGCGGGAAAUCAACCUUUCGAGUGGGGGUUUUGGAGUUUUUUGAAGAGUGUCAAACCCUUUGAGAUUCCAAAAUAUUCGCUCUUUUGGUGUACUUUCUCGUGGGUAGGUUAACAUCGAUUUUGAUCAUCAUAAAAAGAUUGGAGGAAUGUAGCUUCGAUCUUGUAUUGAAGUGUUAUAGCCUUUGGUAAAUGUGAUGAUUAGGAUCGAGGAUUGCAACGAAUACCCUUUUGGGCUAUCCGCCUGAUCUCUGAUACGUGGCCUUGGUAUCGAAAGCGUGCUUAUGGUAUUGAGGUAUUACGGUCAAAAGGUUAGAACGGAUCACAUUCGUUAAGGAUGUUGACGUA
rnacentral:rRNA from 1 species